rnacentral:lncRNA from 1 species
GCGGAAGGCGUCCUUGAUAAGAUAAGUCUUAUAAGAUAUAUAGAUUUAUGAUAAUUAAGACUGAGCUAGCAUAUAAGAAAUCCUACCCAAUUGGCCAGCAGUGUUUGAAACUAAUAUAAGUCUCCAUGUGUUAUUUGGAGCCAUAACACGGCGGGCAGAACUUAGGCAGCUGGUGGAAAGCGCCCAUGUGGCAGCAGGGCUCUGGCAGAUGGAGUAAAGACUUAUCAUUACAUAUGUGUGAGUGACUGUGUGAGUGUGUAUGAGCAUAUAUGAGUGAGUGUGUGUGUUCAUGUAUGCAUGUAGACUAGAGGUACAUGUCAAGUGUCUUCUUUAAAUAAUUCUCCCUCAAUUUUUGAGACAGGGUCUCUCAUCCAACCUAGAGCUGAAGAUGGAAUGUUCUUCUGUAUAUAUGUUUGUCUUAUUGGUUGAUUAAUAAAAUACUGUUUGGCCAGCCAGGAUGAUAGGUAGGAGAAGGAGACAAGGAGGAUUCUGGGAAGUGUAGACAGAGAGGAGUCAUCAUGUGAUCCCAGGAAGUGAUAUAGCUGGGCAGGAAAUGCCACUAGCUAACCGUAGAGGUCUGGAGGUCUGUACAGACAGGCAGGAAGUGACAUAGCUGGGCAGAAUAAGAAUAUAAGCAGGGACAAAUAGGAAAUCACUCUCUCUCUCUUCUCUGUGGAGAUGCUGAACAGUCUCGAUGUAGCUGGCAAAGGAGUUGCAGACCCGGCAUUUCCGUAAGCCAAGAAAUGAAAAUUUUAUAGGGCUCAAGCUAAAACCCCCAAAAUGGGGUGGGUGAGAUGUCUCAGCAGGUAAAGGGCCUUGACACCAAGCCUUAAGACCCAAGUUCGAUUCCUGGGACCCACAUAGUGGAAGGAGAGAAUCUAUUCCUACAACUUGCCUUCUGACCUCCACAUAUGUUAGUCAAAGAGUUAACAACCGGGAGAUUUAAAACCUCUGCUCCUCUUGAACCUCUAUCGUCUUCAGCUGCUACUGGGGCCAUCUUGAUAUCUGUGGCCUGUGCUACCACCAGAGACUAUGUUGAUGUCCAUGGUCAGGGCUGUUGCAGAAGACCAUGUUCGUGGCUGUGGUCCAUGCUGCCACCAGGAACCAUGUAGAAGGCCACGAUCCAUGCUCUCAUUGGCUGCUAUGGACAAGGAAACUUCAUUUGCUUGGUGUUGAUAUCCAUGGCUGUAGACUCAUAACUGAGAACAAGAGAGACGCUGAAGGCUUCCGUGACAACAACCCCCCCCAAAAAAAACAUUCCAGACAGGAAGCUAUUGAAGAGAGUUCUUAACAUUUUUCUUUUGGGAGUGGGGGAUGGGCUGUACAAGUGUGGGCAGGUAGACCUGGGAGGAAUGGGAAACGGGUGUGAUCGGG